rnacentral:rRNA from 1 species
GAUGAACGCUGGCGGCGUGCCUAAUACAUGCAAGUCGAGCGAACAGACGAGGAGCUUGCUCCUCUGACGUUAGCGGCGGACGGGUGAGUAACACGUGGAUAACCUACCUAUAAGACUGGGAUAACUUCGGGAAACCGGAGCUAAUACCGGAUAAUAUAUUGAACCGCAUGGUUCAAUAGUGAAAGACGGUUUUGCUGUCACUUAUAGAUGGAUCCGCGCCGCAUUAGCUAGUUGGUAAGGUAACGGCUUACCAAGGCGACGAUGCGUAGCCGACCUGAGAGGGUGGUCGGCCCCACUGGAACUGAGACACGGUCCCGACUCCUAAGGGAGGCAGCAGUAGGGAAUCUUCCGCAAUGGGCGAAAGCCUGACGGAGCAACGCCGCGUGAGUGAUGAAGGUCUUCGGAUCGUAAAACUCUGUUAUUAGGGAAGAAAAAAAGUGUAAGUAAAUAUGCACGUCUUGACGGUACCUAAUCAGAAAGCCACGGCUAACUACGUG